rnacentral:rRNA from 1 species
GAUGAACGCUGGCGGCGUGCCUAAUACAUGCAAGUCGAGCGAACAGACGAGGAGCUUGCUCCUCUGACGUUAGCGGCGGACGGGUGAGUAACACGUGGAUAACCUACCUAUAAGACUGGGAUAACUUCGGGAAACCGGAGCUAAUACCGGAUAAUAUAUUGAACCGCAUGGUUCAAUAGUGAAAGACGGUUUUGCUGUCACUUAUAGAUGGAUCCGCGCCGCAUUAGCUAGUUGGUAAGGUAACGGCUUACCAAGGCAACGAUGCGUAGCCGACCUGAGAGGGUGAUCGGCCACACUGGAGCUGAGACGCGGUCAAGACUCCUACGGGAGGCAGCAGUAGGGAAUCUUACGCAAUGGGGGAGAGCCUGACGGAGCAACGCCGCGUGAGUUAUGAAGGUCUUGGGAUCGUAAAACUCUGUUAUUAGGGAAGAACAAAUGUGUAAGUAACUAUGCACGUCUUGACGGUACCUAAUCAGAAAGCCACGGCUAACUACGUG